rnacentral:piRNA from 1 species
UGUGCAGCGGGACCCAGAGCUCGACGAG